rnacentral:rRNA from 1 species
UGGGGAAUAUUGGACAAUGGGCGAAAGCCUGAUCCAGCCAUGCCGCGUGUGUGAAGAAGGUCUUCGGAUUGUAAAGCACUUUAAGUUGGGUGGAAGGGCAGUAAGCGAAUACCUUGCUGUUUUGACGUUACCGACAGAAUAAGCACCGGCUAACUCUGUGCCAGCAGCCGCGGUAAUACAGAGGGUGCGAGCGUUAAUCGGAUUUACUGGGCGUAAAGCGUGCGUAGGCGGCUAAUUGAGUCGGAUGUGAAAUCCCCGAGCUUAACUUGGGAAUUGCAUUCGAUACUGGUUAGCUAGAGUGUGGGAGAGGAUGGUAGAAUUCCAGGUGUAGCGGUGAAAUGCGUAGAGAUCUGGAGGAAUACCGAUGGCGAAGGCAGCCAUCUGGCCUAACACUGACGCUGAGGUACGAAAGCAUGGGGAGCAAACAGG